UACAGAGGGUGCAAGCGUUAAUCGGAAUUACUGGGCGUAAAGCGUGCGUAGACGGUUAUGUAAGUUAGGUGUGAAAGCCCCGGGCUCAACCUGGGAAUUGCAUUUAAGACUGCAUAGCUAGGGUGCGGAAGAGGGAAGCGGAAUUUCCGGUGUAGCGGUGAAAUGCGUAGAUAUCGGAAGGAACACCAGUGGCGAAAGCGGCUUCCUGGUCCAGCACCGACGUCAGGCACGAAAGCGUGGGGAGCGAACAGG
rnacentral:rRNA from 1 species